rnacentral:rRNA from 1 species
UAACGAGCGAGACUCUGGCCUACUAAAUAGUUGGCACAUUGCCACUGUGUGCACAACUUCUUAGAGGGAUUUUCGGUGUUCAGCCGCACGAAAUUGAGCAAUAACAGGUCUGUGAUGCCCUUAGAUGUCCGGGGCUGCACGCGCGCUACACUGGCAAAAUCAGCGUGCUUGUCCUCCCCCGAAAGGGGUUGGUAAACCGAUGAAAAUUUGCCGUGAUUGGGAUCGGACAUUGCAAUUAUUGUCCGUGAACGAGGAAUCCCUUGUAAGGGCGAGUCAUCAACUCGUCCUGAAUACGUCCCUGCCCUUUGUACACACCGCCCGUCGCUGCCCGGGACUGAGCCAUUUCGAGAAAACCGGGGAUUGUUGGCCUGACGGCUCUCGGGUCGUCUAGCCGAUGAGAACCGGCUUAAUCGCACUGGUUUGAACCGGGCAAAGGUCGUAACAAGGUAGCUGUAGGUGAACCUGCUGCUGGAUCAUUA